rnacentral:rRNA from 1 species
UGGUCAAGCGAGAAAGUGCGCACGGUGGAUGCCUUGGCACAGACCGGCGAUGAAGGACGUGGCAAGCUGCGAAAAGCCUCGGGGAGUUGCAAGCAAGCUUAGAUC